rnacentral:rRNA from 1 species
UUUAAUGACUCUCGGCAACGGAUAUCUCGGCUCUCGCAUCGAUGAAGAACGUAGCGAAAUGCGAUACUUGGUGUGAAUUGCAGAAUCCCGUGAACCAUCGAGUUUUUGAACGCAAGUUGCGCCMGAAGCCAUUUGGUUGAGGGCACGUCUGCCUGGGCGUCACGU